rnacentral:rRNA from 1 species
GACGAGCGCUGGCGGCGUGCUUAACACAUGCAAGUCGAACGGAAAGGCCCUGCUUUUGUGGGGUGCUCGAGUGGCGAACGGGUGAGUAACACGUGAGUAACCUGCCCUUGACUUUGGGAUAACUUCAGGAAACUGGGGCUAAUACCGGAUAGGAGCUCCUGCUGCAUGGUGGGGGUUGGAAAGUUUCGGCGGUUGGGGAUGGACUCGCGGCUUAUCAGCUUGUUGGUGGGGUAGUGGCUUACCCAGGCUUUGACGGGUAGCCGGCCUGGGAGGGUGACCGGCGACAUGGGGCCUGAGAUACGGCCCAGACUCCUACGGGAGGCAGCAGUGGGGAAUAUUGCACAAUGGGCGGAAGCCUGAUGCAGCAACGCCGCGUGCGGGAUGACGGCCUUCGGGUUGUAAACCGCUUUCGCCUGUGACGAAGCGUGAGUGACGGUAAUGGGUAAAGAAGCACCGGCUAACUACGUG